rnacentral:misc_RNA from 1 species
GAACUUGAUUUAUUUUUUUUAAUCAUAACCGAACUAUUUCUUAAAAUAGAAUUCUUUAAAUACAUGAACAUAGUGCAAUAAUAACUAAUAGCAAAUAUGUACUUUACAAAAUAUAAAUGAAAUUGUUAGAAUUGAAAACCAUAUACAUAAUUUAAUUUAAAGCAAAAAAUGAUCAAUAAUGUAAUAAAUGUCAUGAUGACUUUACUUUGUCAUUAGCCAUAAUUUCUAAUCUUUUUAUUACUUUUGUAAGAUCGAUUUCCUUUUGCAACUUCAAGUAAUCCACUUUUCGAACAUUAUGUAUGCUAGACCACGUGGGUAGCAGUUUACACAAUAAACGUAGAUGGUCCUCUAGUUCAGCAGGAGAUAAUUUAGCUCUAAACGAGUUCUCUAAUUUGCCUCUUUUUCUGCAUUUGGUGGACGUGUCAUAG